rnacentral:tRNA from 1 species
GCCUGGGUGGCUCAGUCAGUGUCUGACUUCAGAUCAGGUCAUGAUCUCACAGUUUGUGGGUUCAAGCCCCACAUCAGGCU